rnacentral:rRNA from 1 species
GACGAACGCUGGCGGCGUGCUUAACACAUGCAAGUCGAACGGAAAGGCCCUGCUUUUGUGGGGUGCUCGAGUGGCGAACGGGUGAGUAACACGUGAGUAACCUGCCCUUGACUUUGGGAUAACUUCAGGAAACUGGGGCUAAUACCGGAUAGGAGCUCCUGCUGCAUGGUGGGGGUUGGAAAGUUUCGGCGGUUGGGGAUGGACUCGCGGCUUAUCAGCUUGUUGGUGGGGUAGUGGCUUACCAAGGCUUUGACGGGUAGCCGGCCUGAGAGGGUGACCAGCCACAUUGGGACUGAGAUACGGCCCAGACUCCUACGGGAGGCAGCAGUGGGGAAUAUUGCACAAUGGGCGGAAGCCUGAUGCAGCAACGCCGCGUGCGGGAUGACGGCCUUCGGGUUGUAAACCGCUUUCGCCUGUGACGAAGCGUGAGUGACGGUAAGGGGUAAAGAAGCACCGGCUAACU